AUUUCUACCUGGCAGGGGAGAUACCAUGAUCACGAAGGCGGUUUUCCCAGGUUGAGGCUUAUCCAUUGCACUCUGGAUGUGCUGACCCCUGCGAUUUCCCCAAAACUUGACUGCAUAAUUUGUGGUUGUGGGGGACUGCGUUCGCACUCUCCCCUG